rnacentral:rRNA from 1 species
AAUGAACGCUGGCGGCAGGCCUAACACAUGCAAGUCGAACGCCCCGCAAGGGGAGUGGCGCACGGGUGAGUAACGCGUGGGAAUAUGCCCUUCGGUUCGGAAUAACACAGGGAAACUUGUGCUAAUACCGGAUACGAUCUACGGAUGAAAGAUUCAUCGCCGAAGGAGUAGCCCGCGUAGGAUUAGCUAAUUGGUGAGGUAAUGGCUCACCAAGGCGACGAUCCUUAGCUGGUCUGAGAGGAUGAUCAGCCACACUGGGACUGAGACACGGCCCAGACUCCUACGGGAGGCAGCAGUGGGGAAUAUUGGACAAUGGGCGAAAGCCUGAUCCAGCCAUGCCGCGUGAGUGAUGAAGGCCUUAGGGUUGUAAAGCUCUUUCGCCAGGGAAGAUAAUGACGGUACCUGGAAAAGAAGCCUCGGCUAACUCCGUGCCAGCCGCCGCCGUAA